rnacentral:rRNA from 1 species
AGGGUUUGAUCAUGGCUCAGAACGAACGCUGGCGGCGUGGAUAAGACAUGCAAGUCGAGCGCGACUUUUACUGUAGCAAUACAGUGAAAGUUGAGCGGCGCAAGGGUGCGUAACACGUGGGUAAUUUGCCGUAGAGUUGGGGAUAACUCGCUGAAAGGCGAGCUAAUACCGAAUGUGGUUACUGGAUGGCAUCAUCUGGAAACUAAAGCUGGGGACCGCAAGGCCUGGUGCUCUAUGAUAAGCCCGCGGCCUAUCAGCUAGUUGGUGCGGUAACGGCGCACCAAGGCUAAGACGGGUAGCUGGUCUGAGAGGACGACCAGCCACACUGGAACUGAGACACGGUCCAGACACCUACGGGUGGCAGCAGUCGAGAAUUUUUCUCAAUGGGCGCAAGCCUGAAGGAGCGACGCCGCGUGUGGGAUGAAGGGUUUCGAUCCGUAAACCACUGUCAUUUGUGAACAAUGGUUAUCCGUGAAUAACGGAUGACUUGAUAGUAAUGAAAGAGGAAGGGACGGCUAACUCUGUGCCAGCAGCCGCGGUAAUACAGAGGUCCCGAGCGUUGUUCGGAUUCACUGGGCGUAAAGGGUGCGUAGGUGGCAUGGUAAGUUUGAUGUGAAAGCUCAGGGCUCAACCCUGAAAUGGCAUUGAAUACUACUGUGCUGGAGGUUUGGAGGGGGGACUGGAAUUCUUGGUGUAGCAGUGAAAUGCGUAGAUAUCAAGAGGAACACCAGUGGCGAAGGCGAGUCCCUGGACAACACCUGACACUGAGGCACGAAAGCCGGGGGAGCAAACAGGAUUAGAUACCCUGGUAGUCCCGGCCCUAAACGGUGCGCAUUUGCUGUAGGAGGAAUCGACCCCUUCUGU